CCCGUGAUACCUCAGUUGGUAGAGCGGAGGACUGUAGAUCCUUAGGUCGCUGGUUCAAAUCCGGCUCGCGGGA
rnacentral:tRNA from 1 species